UACGGGGGGGGCAAGCGUUGUUCGGAAUUACUGGGCGUAAAGGGCUCGUAGGCGGCCAACUAAGUCAGACGUGAAACCCCUCGGCUUAACCGGGGAACUGCGUCUGAUACUGGAUGGCUUGAGUUUGGGAGAGGGAUGCGGAAUUCCAGGUGUAGCGGUGGAAUGCGUAGAGAUCCGGAAGAACACCUGAGGCGAAGGCGGCUUGCUGGGCAUGAUCUGACGCUGAGGCGCGAAAGCGUGGGGAGCAAACAGG
rnacentral:rRNA from 1 species